ensembl:miRNA
CCUGUCUCAUUUUCAGGUGUGGAAACUGAGGCAGGAGGCGGUGAAGUAACUUGCUCAGUUUGCACAGCUGGGAAGUGGAGCAGGGAUUUGAAUCC